AGAGUUUGAUCCAUGCUCAGGAUGAACGCUAGCGGCAUGCUUAAUACAUGCAAGUCGUGGGGCAGCAGCUCUGUAGCAAUACAGAGGCUGGCGACCGGCAUACGGGGUGCGGAACACGUACGCAACUUACCCCAUUACUGAUGAAUAGCCUUCNGUUAGGAUGAUUAAUACAUCGUAACAUCAUGAAAGGGCAUCCUUCUAUUAUUAUAGCUCCGGCGGUUUUGGAUGGGCGUGCGGCUGAUUAGGUAGUUGGCGGAGUAAUAGCCCACCAAGCCUACGAUCAGUAACUGGUGUGAGAGCACGACCAGUCACACGGGCACUGAGACACGGGCCCGACUCCUACGGGAGGCAGCAGUAAGGAAUAUUGGUCAAUGGACGCAAGUCUGAACCAGCCAUGCCGCGUGAAGGAUGAAGGUCCUCUGGAUUGUAAACUUCUUUUAUAUGGGACGAAACCCUUUUAUUCUUAAAAGACUGACGGUACCAUACGAAUAAGCACCGGCUAACUCCGUGCCAGCAGCCGCGGUAAUACGGAGGGUGCAAGCGUUAUCCGGAUUCACUGGGUUUAAAGGGUGCGUAGGUGGGUCUGUAAGUCCGUGGUGAAAUCUCUAGGCUUAACCUGGAAACUGCCAUGGAUACUAUAGGUCUUGAAUACCGUGGAGGUGAGCGGAAUAUGUCAUGUAGCGGUGAAAUGCUUAGAUAUGACAUAGAACACCAAUUGCGAAGGCAGCUCACUACACGAAUAUUGACACUGAGGCACGAAAGCGUGGGGAUCAAACAGGAUUAGAUACCCUGGUAGUC
rnacentral:rRNA from 1 species